GGACGAACGCUGGCGGCGGUCCUUAUUCAUGCAAGUCGAGCGGAGAUUUGAAAAGCUUGCUUUUCAAAUCUUAGCGGCGGACGGGUGAGUAACACGUGGGCAACCUGCCCUUUAGACGGGGAUAAUUCCGGGAACCAGGAGCUAAUACCGGAUAACACAUAUCUUCGCAUGAGGAUAUGUUAGAAGGUGGCUUUUAGCUACCAAUCAAGGAUGGGCACACGGCUCAUUAGCUAAUUGGUGAGGUAACGGCUCACCAAGGCGAAGAUGCGUAGCCAGCCUGAGAGGGUGAUCGGCCUCACAGGGAAUGAGACACGGCCCAGACUCCUACGGGAGGCAGCAGUAGGGAAUCUUCCGCAAUGGACGAAAGUCUGACGGAGCAACACCGCGUGAAUGAUGAAGGUUUUCGGAUCGUAAAGCUCUGUUGUUAGGGAAGAACAAGUACCUGUUAAAUAAGCAGGUACCUUGACGGUACCUAACCAGAAAACCACGGCUAAAUUCGUGCCAGCAAACGCGGUAAUACGUAGGUGGCAAGCGUUGUCCGGAAUUUUUGGGCGUAAAGCGCCCGCAGGCGGUUCCUUAAAUAUGAUUUGAAAGCCCACGGCUCAACCGUGGAGGGUCAUUGGAAACUGGGGAACUAGAGUGCAGAAGAGGAGAGCGGAAUUCCACGUGUAGCGGUGAAAUGCGUAGAGAUGUGGAGGAACGCCAGUGGUGAAGGCGGCUCUCUGGUCUGUAACUGACGAUGAGGCGUGUAAUCGUGGGGAGGGAACAGGAUU
rnacentral:rRNA from 2 species